rnacentral:rRNA from 1 species
UACGUAGGGUGCGAGCGUUGUCCGGAAUUAUUGGGCGUAAAGAGCUCGUAGGCGGUUUGUCGCGUCUGCUGUGAAAACGCAAGGCUCAACCUUGCGCCUGCAGUGGGUACGGGCAGACUAGAGUGUGGUAGGGGAGAUUGGAAUUCCUGGUGUAGCGGUGGAAUGCGCAGAUAUCAGGAGGAACACCAAUUGCGAAGGCAGCUCGCUGGGACGGUACUGACGCUGAGACGCGAAAGCGUGGGGAGCGAACAGG